GGUUUUUAAAGCCUCACUGUGACCCAGGUCUGUAGGUUUUUAAAGCCUCACUGUGACCGAGGUCUGUAGGUUUCUAAAGCCUCGCUGUGACCCAGGUCUGUAGGUUUUUAAAGCCUCGCUGUGACCCGGUCUGUAGGUUUUUUAAAGCCUCGCUGUGACCCAGGUCUGUAGGUUUUUAAAAGCCUCACUGUGACCGCAGGUCUGUAGGUUUUUAAAGCCUCACUGUGACCAGGUCUGUAGGUUUUUAAAAGCCUCACUGUGACAAAGGUCUGUAGGUAUUUUAAAGCCUCACUGUGACCCAGGUUGUAGGUUUUUUAAGCCUCACUGUGACCCAGGUCUGUAGGUUUUCUAAAGCCUCACUGUGACCCAGGUCUGUAGGUUUCUAAAGCCUCACUGUGACCCAGGUCUGUAGGUUUCUAAACCCUCACUGUGAC